UGCAGGUCUUUGUUUAGCGCAGGCUUUUGUUGCUGGCGUGUAUUCUGUUCUCACUGGGAAAGGAACGGAGUCCAGCGGGGUGGGAACAGGAGGGAACCUCCUUCCCUGUGCCAAGGCACACAGCCCUCACUGCAAACUGGAUCAGGAAGUUCAUUACCAGAUACCGGCUCCUUAAUGAAGCAGACCUGAUGCAGAUGGAGGGAGCAUUUUUGUUGCCUGCCUGAGCUCCCAACCCAGUGCACGCAGCCCCAGUGCGCAUCAGCGGUGUCUGACAUCUUUGGC
ensembl:lncRNA